GUGGGGAAUCUUGCGCAAUGGGCGAAAGCCUGACGCAGCCAUGCCGCGUGAAUGAUGAAGGUCUUAGGAUUGUAAAAUUCUUUCACCGGGGACGAUAAUGACGGUACCCGGAGAAGAAGCCCCGGCUAACUUCGUGCCAGCAGCCGCGGUAAUACAGAGGUGGCGAGCGUUGUUCGGAUUUACUGGGCGUAAAGGGCGCGUAGGCGGCCGCGUGUGUGGGGUGUGAAAUCUCCGGGCUCAACCCGGAAAGUGCGCCCCAAACUGCGCGGCUGGAGUGCGGGAGGGGAGAUCGGAAUGCAGGGUGUAGCGGUGAAAUGCGUUGAUAUCCUGCAGAACACCGGUGGCGAAGGCGGAUCUCUGGAACGCAACUGACGCUGAGGCGCGAAAGUCGGGGGAGCAAACAGGAUUAGAUACCCUUGUAGUCC
rnacentral:rRNA from 1 species